AUCUGGCAGAGCUCAAUCAAGUAAAAUAUUCAGCAAAUGGGAAAGGGAAUUAUGUUGCAAAUAUUGUUAUUUUUCUUUUUUUCUUUUUCUUUUUUUUUUUUUAAUAUUGCAUGAAUCUUAACAAAAUGAUCUACCUGUAAAUCUUGACUUCUGUUUGAGGCUGAAAAGAGUGACUUUUCAUGCCCUUGAUGAACAGAGCAAAUUGUGUUCACCCAAACAGGAUUUCUUUAUUUUGAGCCGUGAGUACGAUUUGUCUGUCCUCACUGAACAACAGCUGCUAAUAUCUGAUAUCUGCAGGACUCAAAACAAGAAGCUGAAGUCAUGUUCUUAACUUCUGAUUUACAGGAGAAGUAAGGACCUCUGGUCAAGAUCAAUAAGCUUUUAAAAACAGUUUCAGUAAAAGUAAAAAAACUUCUUUUUUGUUGUUUAAGACUGCUACGAUGCAGCACUUACAACCUGACUGGUUCUUUCUCUAUGCAGUGGCAAUAGAAACGGAUGAGAUUUGAGAAUUAAUGUUUCAGAUUUCAAUUCAAAUAUUGUUGUCUUUCACUUUUCUUUUUCACUAUCCAUUAGAAUGUGACAUUCUUAGAAAUGAAGGAGUCUUUAAUGUGGGACUCUUUAGUACCGUCGUUUCCAUACCUGCAACGAUGGGGCAGAGCACGGCCACUGUACAGCACUAGUACAAUUAAAAGCCACUGAAUGCUUUAUUUGUGUACUGGCAUUAAGCAGUUAUGAUUUGUUGAAAGUCCCAGUUUCAUGUCUUGCACAAUGCACGUGGCUUUUAGUUUAGCUGGAGACACUGCUCCAGACACUCACUUUCAUCACACACAAUUCCUUCCAUGUCAGAAAUGCUGCUGCUUCUCCACACCCUGAGGUCAGGAGAGGUCAGCAGUGGAGCAUGUGCCGACAUGUGAUGGAAUAAGGUCCUAGAAUAAAGGCUGCCUGAGGUUUGUCCUGCUAGGCAGGUCAGUUCUCCAUUUUUGGGGUGGUAAACUUCAUCUGCACUAGGACAGGAAAUCUAAGAGGGAAACUGGGAUAAUCCAAAUAAUUUUGUUUGGCCCAUUGCCAAUUCUUUCAUCUGAGAAAACAUUGCUGUGGAGACAGGCAUGGAUCCUGUAAACUAGUCUAUUCUGAAUAUCUUUCAUCUAACAUUUUUCAAUGUUGAACCUUAACGAACAUCUAACAUGCAAGGCAUUUCUGCGGGACAGUUUGAAUACUUUUGCUUUCAUAAUUUUUUUUUUUUUUUUCUUUAUUGGGUGUUCCUUGAGAUUAAGGCUGGACUAAGUGGAUCCUCUGGUUAGUAUGGUAUUUCCUUAAGUAGAUUGCAUCACAAAACCACUGCAGAAGAAGAUAUUUUCAUGAGCAAGACUUGUAUAAAUUACGAAGAAAAAGAAAAUUUGCCUGGAGAAGCUGAAGUAGCAAACUGGGUAGAAUUAAAACUACUCUUUUUUCUCAGUUUCUAAAUCUAGAAGCUAUAACAUUUUCUCCUCCUGUUCUUAGAGUGUUUGUAAUGAACCACCUUGUCUGCAAGCCAAGAGAUUGCCACAGAGAGAAACGAAUUGCUGCCGAUGACAGAGGAAAGGAGUCUUCAGAAAGUCCUUUUCAGAAAGCUUGUGAUGAUGUGAGGGACUUGGCAGUCUUACACUGGAAGCAAGAGAAGUGAUUUGAGUUCAUUAUGAUGCUGCAACCUGUUACAACAAGCAGUCCACCCUCUGCAAGAGGAGACCAGAUACAGCGUGGGCAGGAAGAGAGAGAGACACACACCACGUCUUCUUGAGAGGCACUGUGACUUACCAGCUCUGUGUCUAAGCUUUCCUUUCAGCUAAGGAGUCAGCAGAAGAAGAGGAGCAGUGAAUUCCAACACCCAGCAACACAUACAAGGUACUGAUAAAGGCCCUGAAAAUUAGUAUCCACAUCUCAGUAGAAAUAACUGGAAGAAGUUUUUGCAGUUGAGUAGACAUUAACACUGCCCUGAGGCAAAAAGGCAGUCUGCAUGUAUUUAAUGUUAACAUUAAUAUAUCUGAGGACAAUUCUUAUCUAAUGAACACCCUGAUUAUUUGCUUUCCUUGGUUAGUGUUUAAGUAGUCUAACUUCCUUUCAGGAUGUUGAGUAUCUUUUCUUGUUCAGUGGAGUCAGCAGUACCUUUGCUUCUUGGAAAUUUGUCUGCUCUUAGGGUUUCCUUUUUUAGUGUCCUCUGUGCAUUUUAAUUAUUCCAAUAAUCUCUGGUUAAAAAACCAGGUUUUUCUAAAAUGCUGAAAAAUGAGUACACAAUAUUUUUAAAUUAAAAAGAAUUAUUUUCAUGACAA